GACGAACGCUGGCGGCGUGCUUAACACAUGCAAGUCGAACGGAAACGCCCUGCUUUUGUGCGGUGCUCGAGUUGCGACCGGGUGAGUAACACGUGAGUACCCUGUCCUUGACUUUGGGAUAACUUAAGGCAACUUGGGCUCAUACCGGAUAGGAGCUCUUGCUGUUUGGUGGGGGUUGGAAAGUUUCGCCGGUUGGGGAUGGACUCGCGGCGUGUCAGCUUGUUGGUUGGGUGGUGGCUUACCAAGACUUUGACGGGUAGCCUGCCUGGGAGGGUGACCGGACACAUUGGGACGGAGAUACGGCCCAGACUCCUACGGGAGGGAGCGGUGGGGAAUAUAACACAAUGGGCUGAAGCCAGAUGCAGCAACGCCGUGUGCGGUAUGACGGCCUUCGGGUUGUAAACCGCUUUCGCCUGUGACGAAGCGUGAGUGACGGUAAUGGGUAAAGAAGCACCGGCUAACUACGUG
rnacentral:rRNA from 1 species